ACAUAGCCCUGAUGGUAACGGUUACCCCACAGCGAUGGCGCGGAACGCAGUGGAGCGCCAGAGCGAGGAGUAUGAGUGGACAGCAGGUUCACGG
rnacentral:misc_RNA from 1 species